UCGCGGCGCUCAUGUGCUAAGCCUAUUGUUUAAACUUUCUCGCUUUGUCUCACCAAGUCUAAACAAAUAAACACUAAUUCAGAUCAUAUUAUUCAAUAUUUUUACGUAACUGGUUCUGAUUUGUAGGUGUAAUAAGAUUUAUACAUGAUAUUUAAAAUAUAUCUCAUUAGUAGCAUCGUUUCUAAAGUUUAUAUUUUUAACACAAAAUUUUAAAAUACAUAUUUUCUAAGGUUCCCCAAUUGUACUAAGAACAUUUGUGGCGAUUAAACACUUUACAGCAGUGAAUAUUUUGUUUUUAAAGUGUCAAACAAAACCUGGCUAAAAGAGCUAUAUUUCAUAUACAUAUCCCAAAUAUUGAAAAUAACAAAUUGUUCUAUAACAACUAAAAAUUAACUUGUUGAAUAGGACUUGUAAAAUGUGUAUAAGAGUAUGUAUAAGUGUAUAACGGUUUUGUUUGAUACUUUAA